UUUCCGUAGGUGAACCUGCGGAAGGAUCAUUCAUAAUAAGUGUUUUAUGGCACUUUUUUAAAUCCAUAUCCACCUUGUGUGCAAUGUCAGGGUUGAUUUUCCUCUCGAGAGGAUCAACCCCAAACAUCAACUAUAUCUCAACUCUUUGUCUGAAAAAUAUUAUGAAUAAAACAAUUCAAAAUACAACUUUCAACAACGGAUCUCUUGGCUCUC
rnacentral:misc_RNA from 1 species